CCAGUACUCACCAACACUUAUUUCAGUUCUUGGGGUUAGUCAGUCUGAUUGAGAUGAGGUGAAAUUGGAAAUACAUUCUGUCUGCAUUUCCUGGUGGUUGAGAGAGACCGGAAAAUUACACCCAUGCUGCCACUCAAGUUUCUGGAAGGUUACUGGAGAUCAUGUACCUUAGAGUCCAGGAAAGAGUAAUCAAAGGACUGUGUGAGCCUCCCCCUGUCUGAGGGAGCAAUGGACCCCUUUGGUACACACCCUGGCCUGCAAGACUGUGUGACAAUCUCCUCCCUUUUCUCCCAGAGCCCCAGAAAGAGAUGGUAGCACUUAUUAUGGGAUUUGUUGUACACCAUGUGGCUUGUAUAAUUCUGAGAUAGAAAAUGCUGGAAACCCCGUGUUCUGGUGACAUCACAUUUUCAGCCCUCAGGAGUGAUUCUUCUGUUAUAGAAGGCAACCUCCUCAGUUCAUAUCUCAGAAGUCACACCUGGACACUGGUCCCUCAAACUUUCACCAUGGUCACUGGUAGUCCCUGUUUUUCAAUUUUCCCCUAACUGUAGGUACACACACAUUUUAGCAUCUCCUCAGUCUGCAUCAUCAGUCACCAAAGACCAUAUUGACAAAAUCUCUGCCCUUGGAGCCCCCUGGAGUCCGGAGUAGCCUAGACAGAGUUCUGACCAUCUGUACUUUGGAAAUCCUUGAGCCUUCCUUCUGUUCUGUGAAGAAAUGUAGAUUUAUCAGCCUGAGAAAGUUAAAUUCACUCAAUUUUUUCUCUGGGUUAUGAUAUUUAUCUUCUCCAAAGUCUGAAAAUAUGGGGCCAACAGAAACUUCAAAAUCUAUCAGGAGCCCCUGGAACAAGUUGGUUGGACAGAGCUCAGAACAUCUCUACUCCAGUUGCAAUCAGAGUAUGCUAGACCUCUUUUCAGUAAUGUACUUCAAGGAGAGCUUCCCUCAAGCAAAGGCUUCCAUAGCUACAGUGCAUUUGAAAACCUCCAGGUUAAAUUAUCUCUGAGGUUCUAAGGCUCAGGAUGCUAAUUUCACUCCAAACCUCACUGUUUCACAUAGCAGGGACCAAACACCAUCUCUUUGGUUUUAGAGAAGAGAAAUCAGCCCAGUCUAUUUUCCCACACAUUUUACCUGACAUUUGGAAAGAUGCUGAUGGAGCUAAGACAUCAUCUGACCUGAAGAGCAUCCUUUGAUGGGAUAAAGUCACCAAUGAUGUCUACUUAGACACCAACUGCACAAAGAGCUACUGGAACCAAAUGUUAGCUCACCACCACAUGGGACUAUUUAAAUCUAAACUAAUUAAAAAUAAAUAAAACAUAAAUUACAGGUUUAUAGC